GAAUCUAAACCCUUCCCAGAGUAUCAAUUGGAGGGCAAGUCUGGUGCCAGCAGCCGCGGUAAUUCCAGCUCCAAUAGCGUAUAUUAAAGUUGUUGCAGUUAAGAAGCUCGUAGUUGAAUUUCUGCCUUGUCAUUAAUCUCGCUUCCGAGCGUUUUUUUAUUGACUUGGCAUCUUCUGGAUUUGGUGCCUUCGGGUACUAUUUUCCAGGAUUUACUUUGAGAAAACUAGAGUGUUUCAAACAGGCAUUCGCCUUGAAUACUACAGCAUGGAAUAAUGAAGUAGGACUUUGGUUCUAUUUUGUUGGUUAUUGAGCCAGAGUAAUGGUUAAUAGGAGCAGUUGGGGGCAUUCGUAUUUAACUGUCAGAGGUGAAAUUCUUAGAUUUGUUAAAGACGAACUACUGCGAAAGCAUUUGCCAAGGAUGUUUUCAUUAAUCAAGAACGAAAGUUAGGGGAUCGAAGACGAUCAGAUACCGU
rnacentral:rRNA from 1 species